GAGGGUAUAGCUCAAAGAGCUAGAGCGCAUGCUUUGCAUGAAUGAGGUCCUGGGUUCAAUCCCUACUACCUCCU
rfam:Camelus ferus unplaced genomic scaffold scaffold757, whole genome shotgun sequence.